rnacentral:lncRNA from 1 species
GGCUCCUCGCUCCCAGCCCUGCGGCUGCUGUCGCUUCGCCCCCGCGGGCGUGUGGGCUGCGCCCCAGCCAGCCCGGCGGCGCCCUGAAGAGGGUGGCCGGGGCGCAGAACACUCGGGCCCUGAGCGCCCGAAGUGCAGACGUGGGAGGGCCCCACGGGGAAUCGGGCGCCCCCCUUCUUCCUCCCUUCCUUUCCCUGGUCGUCUUCUUCCCCCUGGGAGCGAAGAGGACGUAAAGGACACAAUUAAGUUUCAUUUUCAACUCAGCAUUCAAUCAGAAGAAUCUUCCGGCCGUGUAAUUUUUGCUGUCGUUUUUAAUCCUAAAAAUAAGCUUGCUGGAAACUCUUCCUUUCUCGUGACCCUCACGCCCCAUCAGCCACUUGCAUACAUUCUAAAUUGUACGUUGAAGUUUUUCCCACUUUAUUUGGGGGAACCGUUUUAAAAGUAAUCUGGUUUUCGCCUGAAAUAGGAAGACAGUAACCUCCAGUCAAAACAUGUGCAGCAGAAUGGGAUUUGGUGUUUUUCGACGCCAAAGAACCUCCACCCCCCCACCCCCACCCCGAGCUUUUGGAAUCCAUUUCGCUUUUGUAAAACGUGUGCUUCGUCUGUAAAAACUGAGCAAGGAAUAGAAACAUUCGUAGCUCUACAGUGAGUGCCUGUCACACUUCACAUCCAUAGAGCCUUUUGUGAACUUUUAUAAGAUUCAGAAUUCAGCUUGAGCACCAGUGACAGCAAUUGUUACAUUUAUUCUAGAAUGCUAAAUUAAUUCGAUUUUAAACUGAUUAUUAGCCUCGGUGUGCCGUUCCUAAAGGCUUGUGACUUUAGGUAUUUCCAAGAUGCCCUUAAGUCUCUGCUUACCACUUUCCUCCCUCCCCGAGCAUCCUGGAUGUUGGGACUGUGAAUCCAGGUCUCCGUUAUCUAAAUGGUUGAUGUUAGUGUUUCCUGUCAUCACGUUUAGUAUGCUUGUUGCCUUUACUAUCAUUAUAGCUAAAAUAAUACUGCUUUCAGAGAUGUGUUGUAUAAUCGCAUAAUAAUUUCAGAACGCCUUCAUAUUGAACCAGAUAUGAAGUGAUACAGUAUCAUUUAUUCAAACUGCCUAAAAAGUAAAAAGUAUAAACCAUAUACUAUUUUUAAAACAGGUAGGUUAGAUUUAAAUCACGUAGUUUAGAACUGUUGGAAUGGUACUUUGAGUGAUAGGAUUUAUGUUAGGCCUUCUUUAGUAAUAGUUAAUAUCAUGUAAUUAGCACUCGUUUACACACAAUUUUAAUGUGUUCGAAUCCCUAGAGUCAUCGAAUUCAGAAUUUAUAGUAUUUUAUUUUACUUAGUUAAUAUUAACCUAAAAAAAAAGCAAAAUACAGGCAUUAUGCAGUUGAGUUGUGUUAAGUGUGGACUGUAAAACAGGAUAGUAUUUGUUAUAAAAUAUGUUUUUGUAUGUGUUUAAUAUAUAGCUUCAAAAGGACAUGUAUGAAGAAAGAUGUCUCAGCACAUAGGUAGUUAUAAACCAAGGGUUUGAGAGACUGACUUUAGAAUCUAGAAUGAGUAAGAAAGUGAUGGAUCUGUACAUUCAUUUGUAUUGAAGUUUGAUUUUGCUUUCAGUUUCGUUAAUUAAGCCCCGGGAAUCAGGGACCUUUCCUGGCACCCUCUACAGUGUUAGUGGCCUUUGUGGUAAAAGAAGUUAUCUCAGAUACUCAUUUCAUGCAAUUACAGGCAAACUGGAAGGCACCUUAAUGGUAUGCAAGAUGUGAAAUGAAUUACUAUGUUGCAUUCCACUCUGCCCCCACUCAUGUACAAUUAUACUUUGUUUAAAAGUGCAUAGUUUCAGUGGUAUUUAUUAGCUAGCAAAUAAAACUUUAAAUAAAUAAUGAUGGUGUUGUGAACUGUCUUUUCAGUGGUUGAA